CCAAACCGUUAGGCUACGUGCCUUCAGAUGUCAGCGAUCCAGACCCUGUGACUCCAAACUGCCUUUUGAUGGGGCGGCCGGAUGGAUCACUGCCACAAGUGGUCUACGCCAAGGAAGAGCUCCUGAGUCGCAGGAGGGCCUAGCAUACACAGGUGCUUGCCGACCACUUCUGGUCUCGCUUCAUUCACCUUUACCUGCCUGGCCUGCAGUCCCGCCAGAAAUGGCAGACACCUUCAGUAGAUGUCACAGAGAGCUCUGUGGCAAUCAUUGUGGACCCGCAGCUGCCUAGGGCAUCUUGGCCGAUUGGUCGGAUAUCCAAGGUGCAUCCCAGUCCUGAUGGACUAAUCAGGUCAGCAGACAGAGAGCAUGCGGUGCCAAUUUUACCAGCCGUUCCGGCUGACAAUUAAACGGUCACCUCAAGUUGUUGUUUAAGUUAACGGUGGCUUUUGUUAUGAGCAAAUGUAUUAGAUACAUUUGGGGGCGGCUGUACAAAAGGUUCUGUGAGACGGUGUGGUUGACAGCGGAAUUCCCACGUUCCUUGAAGGGGUCUCGAAUCGCGGAACAGCACGAAAGCAGAGAGGACUUUGCCAGCUAACUUCGACUCGUUAAUAGACAGUUUUACAGUGUCGAGGGUGUGCGUGUGUGCACAUAGUAAGUGCGAGUUGUAACCACUUCAACAGCCUCACAUUCGACUUCAGAGUCAGAUUUUGGAUCAAAUGUAUGGUUGAACUCCACUACGAGGACGAGGCUGCAGCUGCCAGUUCAUCAUCAUCAUCUCCAUCACCACCUGGCCAUAAAGAGGGUCUGAAACUGGAAGUCCUUUUCUUCUCCUGCCACACAACGAACGUUCUCCACAAGUGUGUCCAUACUGGGCAAACAGCAACACCAGGCUUCCCAGACACUGCUGACGUGACGGUGCAGGGACUCCCUCUGCUUGGAGGAUCUUCUUUGCAUGGUCCAGUGCAAUGAGUGGGUUUAGGAGCUCCAGCGGAGGUUUGGGGAAGACCAUUUUCUUCUCCCAGUAAAGACAUGCCUCUUUAGUCGACACCAGUACAUUGUGUAGCAUUUACACUAGUGCUUGAUCUUUAUGCAUACUCAUUAAAAAAAAUUAUG